rnacentral:rRNA from 1 species
UAGGGAAUCUUCGGCAAUGGACGAAAGUCUGACCGAGCAACGCCGCGUGAGUGAAGAAGGUUUUCGGAUCGUAAAACUCUGUUGUUAGAGAAGAACAAGGACGUUAGUAACUGAACGUCCCCUGACGGUAUCUAACCAGAAAGCCACGGCUAACUACGUGCCAGCAGCCGCGGUAAUACGUAGGUGGCAAGCGUUGUCCGGAUUUAUUGGGCGUAAAGCGAGCGCAGGCGGUUUCUUAAGUCUGAUGUGAAAGCCCCCGGCUCAACCGGGGAGGGUCAUUGGAAACUGGGUGACUUGAGUGCAGAAGAGGAGAGUAGAAUUCCAUGUGUAGCGGUGAAAUGCGUAGAUAUAUGGAGGAACACCAGUGGCGAAGGCGGCUCUCUGGUCUGUAACUGACGCUGAGGCUCGAAAGCGUGGGGAGCAAACAGG